rnacentral:rRNA from 1 species
UACGUAGGGUGCGAGCGUUAAUCGGAAUUACUGGGCGUAAAGCGUGCGCAGGCGGUUCGUUGUGUCGGCGGUGAAAGCCCCGGGCUUAACCUGGGAAUGGCCGUUGAAACUGGCGAACUGGAGUGUGGCAGAGGGGGGUGGAAUUCCGCGUGUAGCAGUGAAAUGCGUAGAGAUGCGGAGGAACACCGAUGGCGAAGGCAGCCCCCUGGGCUAACACUGACGCUCAGGCACGAAAGCGUGGGGAGCAAACAGGG